rnacentral:sRNA from 1 species
UUGGGAGACCUGGAAAUUAAUGAUCUUUGCUGUACAGGACAGGUAUAAGCUCAGGUAGCCUCCUAGGCAGUCCUGCACAUUGCCAUGGCAAUGGAUUUUCAACCUGACAUGGAGAGUCAACUUCUGUUGGAGAAAGAUAGGUCUUUUAUAUCCAGGAACCACAGUUCUUUAAGA